GAUUCUAUAGUGUAAUGGUAGCACAUUUGACUCUGAAUCAAGUAGUCUCCGUUCGAAUCGGGGUAGAAUCGC
rnacentral:tRNA from 1 species